rnacentral:misc_RNA from 1 species
ACAAACUUGGUCAUUUAGAGGAAGUAAAAGUCGUAACAAGGUUUCCGUAGGUGAACCUGCGGAAGGAUCAUUAGAAAGAAAAAAGAUCGACCUCGAAAACGUGGACGAUCAAAUCCAUACCCACCUUGUGUGCACUCAUUGACCGUUCGCUUUGGCAGGAAGAGCCUUCGAUCGUUGAUCGAAGCGCGCGAGAGGCCUCUCCCCUCCCUCCGCGGGAAGGGAGAUCGGCACCUCGGGCCUGCCAGAGUUUUCUCGAACUCACGCUUCUCUUGAACCUUUUGGACUGAACCCUCGUCUCGAUUCUUUUGUAAUCGGUCGAACCAAAUACAACUUUCAACAACGGAUCUCUUGGCUCUCGCAUCGAUGAAGAACGCAGC